AUAAACUAGUUGCUUCUAGAUUGUAAAUGUUGCUCUGUGCCUUACACUGAAAAAUAUUUUAAAGUAAAAUGUCUUUUCAAAGUAAAAUAUCUUUUCAAGUUAUUUCUUAAUUAUUAUGUAAAUAUUAAUGGUAGCACUAAAAUGUCAACAGUGUUUUCAAAAAUAUACCGCCCUUUACCUCUGCUAAAGUCUCCACCCUGGUAGUUGCAUGAAAAUCUGCUCAAGUGACCACAUUUCUCAGCCUACAGUGAAGAGCAGGGCCACUGAGGAAAAACAAAGCGCCCAUUUCAAUGUGUGUACAUUUUUUACCAACUGUUUUGCAUCUAUAAUGUUUUAAGGAAAUAGUGUGUUGACUUUAUAAAUUUCACUUCUUAGUACAAUGAAAACUA